UCCGUAGGCGGGCUAAUAAGUCAGGGGUGAAAUCCCACAGCUUAACUGUGGAACUGCCUUUGAUACUGUUAGUCUUGAGUUAUAUGGAAGUAGAUAGAAUGUGUAGUGUAGCGGUGAAAAGCAUAGAUAUUACACAGAAUACCGAUUGCGAAGGCAGUCUACUACGUAUAUACUGACGCUAAUGGACGAAAGCGUGGGGAGCGAACAGGAUUAGAUACCCUGGUAGUCC
rnacentral:rRNA from 1 species